GACGAAGGUGGCAAGCGUUGUUCGAAUCACUGGGCAUAAAGAGCACGUAGGCGGCUAAGUUAGUCGGAUGUGAAAUACCUCGGCUCAACCGAGGAACUGCGUCCGAUACUGCUUGGCUUGAGGUCCGGAGGGGAGAGUGGAAUUCCCGGUGGAGCGGUGAAAUGCGUAGAGAUCGGGAAGAACGCCGGCGGCGAAAGCGACUCUCUGGUCGGAAUCUGACGCUGAGGUGCGAAAGCUAGGGGAGCAAACGGG
rnacentral:rRNA from 1 species